AUUGAACGCUGGCGGCAUGCUUUACACAUGCAAGUCGAACGGCAGCGCGGGCUUCGGCCUGGCUGCGAGUGGCGAACGGGUGAGUAAUGCAUCUGAACGUGCUCAGUAGUGGGGGAUAGCCCGUCGAAAGCCGGAUUAAUACCGCAUACGACCUGAUGGUGAAAGCGGGGGACCGAAAGGCCUCGCGCUAUUGGAGCGGCCGAUGUCGGACUAGCUAGUUGGUGGGGUAAAGGCUUACCAAGGCGACGAUCCGUAGCUGGUCUGAGAGGACGACCGGCCACACUGGGACUGAGACACGGCCCAGACUCCUGCGGGAGGCAGCAGUGGGGAAUUUUGGACAAUGGGGGCAACCCUGAUCCAGCCAUGCCGCGUGCGGGAAGAAGGCCUUCGGGUUGUAAACCGCUUUUGUUCGGGAAGAAAUCCUCUGGGCUAAUACCCCGGGGGGAUGACGGUACCGGAAGAAUAAGCACCGGCUAACUACGUG
rnacentral:rRNA from 1 species